CAACUCCAAAUGCCUGUGUUAGGGGAAAUAAACAUGAAGACCACAUGCACUCCACUUCCCAGCAAGUGUUACUUGAUUUUGUCACCCAUAUUUUGAAUUUUUGCAAGGCUUGCUGAUGUUCUUGAACUCCACACACACCUACCCCCAUCUAAAUGCAUGGUACCCCUUGGUGCAGCAGUGGCUCAUUGUGUACUCUCUGUAUUUCAGAGCAGACAAUCCUGUCAGAAAUUUCCAUGAUACAGUGACAGCAGUUUUCUGAUCUCCUUUAAAUUGCAGAAUUACUUCCUGUUUUGAAGGAAAACUGGAAAGGAAAGUGUUCUGGAGGUGGAUUGGUCUGGUUCAGCUUUGAGAGUGGGCUGUUCAAAGCCACUUCCAGGCAGCUUCAGCUGACUACAGAGUCUUGGCCCAAGUUCUUCCGCAUGGGAAGCUGCUUUUCCCUGUCAGACUUUGUCUUCAAUUGAAAAUUCCAAUGACCCCAGAGGCUGUUCCAGACCUCAGUUAUGCUCAGUGUAGAAACAGGUGUGUACCUACACUGUAAAGUGAAGAGGCAUGAACUAAGAAUUGGACAACAGAGGAAAAUUUGGCCAGGCUCUCCCAGUUAGUCACAGGAUGAGUACAUAAGCUGCUAGAUUCAACUCAGGAGAAAACAGGAUAUGAAUGACUAGACAAAAAUGUUACACCUACUCCCUGUCAAACCAUAAAUCCAGUCCUAAAAGCUGGAAUGAAAAUCUACCAGUCCAGGCUCAAAAACCUCUCAAACAUUCUUCCAAUAUGGUGAUGAGUGUCUUUUCUUUCAUAUGAGAUAAGAAGUAUUGCCUGUGCUGGUAAGUAGAAUACUGAAGGUUGGAAUAAGAACUUAGAACCCGUCUGAGGCUUCUUAGAGGAUUCGGUGCAAAGAAAAGCUUGUUUGGUGUUUAUCCAAGGAUAAGAACAUACCAGACCUAUUUCCACUUCAUAGCUACCUUGAGGCAAAUUAUCCACUGACACAAAAUAUGGGAUCUCUAGUGCUGUUUUCACUGUUGCCAGGAUGUAGUGAAAUCCAUCAGCUCUUCAAUGGAAACACAAAUACUGCAGAACUCGGUUUCAGUCUGAGCCUACCAGACUCAUUCUCCGUAGCUUAAACUCAUGGUCUGAAUCUUCAACAGCAUCAGAGGGACACAGUUCUUCAUUUCAUGGGAACAGUUCUUUUCACAGUCUUUGAUUUUGUCUCACCAGUCUUUCGUAAAUAUCUUCUUCAGCCUCACGUAUCAUAAACCUGUAGGUGCAAACUAUAUCUGUAUAUCUAUAUCAGCAAUCAACACCCUGAUGGAGAGCGUUAAAACUCCAACUGGGUGAGAAAGGCUCCCUUGACUGACAAAAAAAAAAAAAAAAAAAAGAAGAAAAGGAUAAAUUUGUUGAAUAAUUUGAUUUCAGUGUUGUUCUGUAUUUUUUCUAACUGAGAUGGAUUCAACUCCAGCUCUUGGAGGAUUUUCAGUCCUGAGUGUCUUAUUACUCUUUCAUACUUGGCUGUCUAAGGGAAUGUGGUACCCUAUAUUCACCCUAAACUAAAAGAAACCACUUUCUAGAGUCAGUCUUUAAAAUCAUCUUUGGAGUCCUUGCAUGACCAUGGGAAAGAGGAGAGAGAGGGGAGCAGUGUCUUCCUGACUAGGGCUCAGAGAUGGCUUCAGGUGCCAUCACAUCAGUGAGACAUGAAGCAAAGAAGCAGUUCAAGGAAUGAUGUUGUAGAUGGGUGUGUUGUCACAACACCACAGGCAAGAGCUGGUCACUGAUGUAAAGCUGCAUAUGCCAACCCUGUAUUGCUGUCUUGGGAAAUAACAUGACAGGAUAAUGUAACACAGGCAUUGUACAGCCAGCAAGGUGGAAACAAUGCAGCAGCGAGGAUGGAAGGGAGAUGGGAGCUAAAGUGUUUCAGAUUAUCCUAUAGAGAACAAAUGUGUUUGAUAUACUAUUCACUCUGCCUCAUAUAAAAGUUUAAUGUCUUGGGGGUGCCAGCUCUGUACAGAUCUGUGACUGUAAUCAAGCCACGAGCAAUGGCUGUGUGAAAGAUCUUGGAAAAGUUUCUUGGCAUCUCCGAUGGAUGUGUUGCAAAGCAAUGACCCAUUUUUCAGUCACUGGUUUGUAUUUGAUAUCCAUGAAGCCCUACAAAAUAGAGAGGGAAGAGAAAUGAGGUUGCCUGAGCUGAAAGAAACGGCUGUGUGAACCAAACCAUUGUGAAGUUCUAUAUCUUGAUUGCUUCUCUCUAUGGAAAGCUUUGCCAAGUCUAAAAUAAUUUCCAUAGUAGUGUGCAUUGCUGAUAUAAAAGAGAUAGAAAAUGCAAUUUUUUUUUCAACUUUUCAGCUUGCAACUUCUUUCAACUUCUACAACAUGUCAAAUUCCUUUCAGGGUAUAACUUGAACUUGUUUAUCAGUGAUGAAAAGUGCCCAUUUGGGGUUCUUUCUAUCAGCACCCAAAGCAGAGAUAAGUUUUCCAAUGAACCAUUCAGAACACGCACUUUGAAACUACCCAUUCAUUAGCUGACAGAUUGUACCUGCAACAGACCUGAGUAAAUUCUCAACUAUUUUUUUCGAAUUUUUUCUGUUCUAAAUGGAUUUUAGUGGCAUCUCUUGACUCUUGUUGGCAGGAAUGGAGAUAUUUACCAUCUGUUCAAAUACACAUUGGCCAUGGUAAAAAAUUCAGACAAUUCCCCAAACAAAGAGCAUGGGGAAGCAACCAAUACAAGCUGCUGGCUCCUCAUACAGCUCAGGUGCAGACAGAGAACAAUGCAUUCAGGUGGGUUGUUGGCACUGAAAUGAACUCAUGAACUCUCAAGGGUGCUUCCAGCAGAAAUGAAGUUAUAAAAGUAUUAAUGACAAGAUCAGAAGAUAUUUGGUUCUGGCUUAAACAAUUGUGUUCUGUUUGUUUUAUUGUGUAUGGUGCCUAGCUGGUCUUUCUAAGGAGGUAUAGAGCAGAGAAAAAAGGAAAGGAGAUAGUUGCAUGGAAAUGAACUUCAGAAGUUGUAAGACCAUGUUAGAGCAGCUCAUUGUGCCUUUUUUUAUAUACUUUGCUCAGAGAAAGUGGCAAGGAAGCAUAUCAACUCUUUCAAGUCUUUAGCUGAACCUGCUCCAUGCUGUAGUCUUCCAGCUAUAGACUUUGCCCGUGAAGGGAGGGUGAAUUUUGGUCACACUCCCAGCAACCAAUUUCCAGACAAACCCAGCACAGUUGGUGGACCUGAAUCAAGAUUUGCUUGUAAAGAUGCCCAUGCUGUUAAGAACUGUAUUUGCAAGUAAGUGCAGGUGGAGAAUUUAGAAGGUUGCUGCUGGGAGGAGUGAGUGUCUCUCAGUGGUGUCUCUCCUUCAGAAAUAGCGACUGCUGCCUGUGCCUUUUGUGUAGCAGGGUCUCAGAUUAAGUCUCUGCCACUCAUUGUGUAUUUGCUUUGUGUUUUGCAGAACUUUCCAGCUGGAGUCACACAGUACGUUUGUUCCCCAUAGCAUGAAAUCAUGACAUCUUACUGCUUUUCCCUGGAGCAGAGUAACACAUUCAUUUUUAAUUGUUGACCACUAUAUCAAAAAUCCUAUUUCCCAGAGUUUAAUUGUUUUGCAUGAUGUUUAAUUCAUGGCUUCCCUACAGAAAUCAGCUGUUAACCUUUUAAAAAAAUAUAUAUAUUAUUUAGUAUUUAUUUAUUAUUUAGCAAUAACAUUUUUAAUUGUACAGGAUGAUAUAAUUUAUUUAUAUUCUCACUAUAAAAUUCCAUGUCCCUGUGCUUCCUCUCCCUUUCUCCCCCACCCCCUUUUUUUUUUCUCCUGGCACUUAUGAAGAACAAUAAGAGCUGUAGAAAUGUUACUGCAAGGGUUUCAAGAACAAGUUUUUGAAAUAAGGUGUUCUUACACAGGACAGCACUGAAGAAACAUUUAAAUCCUCCUGGAGACACUAAGCCAAUGCUUAAGAGCUUUUGGAAAUCAGGGCAUAGGUGAACAUAUUUUUCUUUCUUUCUGAAUAUGCUUUCUACCAUCUUCUUGCAAAUGAGCUGCCCUGCAGAAAAGUUCAGUGGCAAAACUCAAGCCAAACUUUCAGAGGAUUUGUAGAAACAGGAAUUCAGAGUUUCUGCCAGAGACCUGAUGCGACGAGUGAUAUUCAUCCAGCCAGGAGACUGUGCCAUCCAGAAUGUGUCUAGCAGAAUUUCACACACAGCAAAGUGCUCUUGGAAAUGUUCCAGGACAAUAAUUAUUGGAUACCAGGGAGCUGCAAAUAAGUGCUAAGAAAUGAGGAAGCACAGCACUUGCACAAGAUCUCAUCCCCUGUUCUGGCUGCACAGAAUGCCCUUUGCUUUGGCUGCUGUGGCAAAAUCUCCAUCUUCUCUUUCCAUGGAAAGGAUUGGGUGCUGGGAGAUGUUUUGUAGUUUGCCCAAGCCCUGAACCUCCUUCCAAACCCAGAGACUAGGCAGAGGCUGCAGGAGUCCCAGCCACCUCUCAUCAGAACAAAGCUUUCCCAUGAUGUACAAGGCUGCAACCCAAAUCCAGCUGCUCCCACGGCAACAGAAUAGGGUCCAACCCUGCAGGCAGAGAUACCAGAGAUGGAUAUCAGCACGAUUUGUAUUCAUAAGACAUACUGAUGUUGCGAAUGAAUUAACCAAGGAACAUAAUGCUUCACUGCCAACUAAGAGCUAAUCCUUGAAGUUUAGUGCUAUUACACUUAACUUAUUUCAGUUGGAGCUCAAACCAUGACACAUAGAAGAACUGAUACCAGUGAAGGAGAUGGAUUUCUUGUCAAGAACGAGUCUCGCAAUUCCUUUGCUCCAAGGAAAUUUGAAUGAAGAAACAUUCAGUUUGGAGACAUGCCUAUUCUACUUAGAGAAAGUUAAAAAAUGGAUUGAGGAAAGCAGACAGAGCUAGAAAACAUUGCAAAGAAAAAUUAUAAUUUUUAAACACAAAAUUCAGGUUUAUGAAUUUCUCCAUGUGAGUUUUUGACAGUGGUCCAUCCAUACUCUUUGGGACAUUUCUUCUGGACUUUACACCCGAAGCUCUUGCAGGACAAGGAUUUGUCUUGCUUGAAUGGUCUAGAUCUGCUUGUGAUUUCCAGUGGGCUCCCUUGGUGACUUUUAGCACAUGCUUCUGGUGCUGGAGCACAAUCACAACAGUGACCCUCUUUUAGACUGGAGCUCAGUAAGAUGCGGGCCCUGACAUAGAUUUUGGGUGUGCCAAUGUUCCCAAAUCCCUUGAUCUAUGCCACUUAAUUUUAAGCAGUCAGUAGGACACCUAAGGAGGGAGCCUAAUUAUCCUAAGGCACCUUUCACAGUCAGUGAGGUGAUCAAGGUGUCACCAGCACAUGAACCUGAGAUGCCCUGCAGUGCCCUCAGCUGACUCACCUCCAUCAGAUACAAAGAGAUGCUUGGCAGGAAUGCAAACAGCAAAGGCAGCAGGGAGAGGCAUCACCAGAGCAGAGCUUCAGGUGAAGCUUUGUUCCAGACAAGACGCCUAUGGCAGUGGACUCAGCCAAGAGGGCACUGGCUGUGAGUGUGUAGCACAGACAAUGAGAGAAUUGGUGAGGGGAGACCUGCAGAAAAUCACAGCAACAAGGAAAAGAGACCUCCAGAAAUACAAUCCAAAUAUUUCAGCUCUGUUUCAGCAGCUGUCUCAGAAGACUCUGUUAAAGCAAGAAUUUUUGUGCUGCAACUUGUUACCUGAAAAAUAAAUUGGGAACAAGAAGAGGAAACUGAGUUCUCAGACCGGUUUAUCUGUAUGAGAGGCUGACUUUUUUAUGGACACAGAAUUUCAGAUUAACAAGUAGAUAGAUGCUUCUGACAUGUUUUAAGAGAGGCUCCAGGGACAGAGGUUUUGAGGGCAGUGUGUGUGUUUAAGUGCAGCUCCAUCAGCUUGGAUACAGAGAGAUUCAUUUCAAAUGAGGCAAAUGGGGAAGAAAUGAGAGGCCAUUUCUGCACUUGCCUUGGCCAUGGCUGUCCUUGUUAUCUGUAGUUCUGAGCUGGAUUCAAAGUGCUUAUUCAAACCAGUAUAAUCACUAUGAAGAAUGGCCAUUUCCAGCUUUAUUGAUUAAUUUAAUCCAGUAGGUAUGCUUGAGGAAAUAACCACAAGAGGUCUUAAUGUAAAAGGCAUAAGUACGUGUGUAAAUGUUUUGCUGGUUUGUGCUGAGAAACAUGGACUUUUUGGGACUGUGUCUUUACCAACAAGUAUGGGAAUUCUUUGAGCUUUAUCUUUUUUUUUCUGUAUGUCUGUCUGCACUUCCUAUAACUUUUUACCUGGCCAAAAAUAAACCAGAGUUUAAUUUCAGACUGGAAGAGACUAA